UUAAAAUGGAAAAUGAAGGAUAAUUCAUCUUUGAAAAUAUAUACUUGAGCAUGUGUAUUUUGCUAUCUUAUUGGGGUAACAUAGAGCCAAAUGGGGCAAGGUUGGCGUAUCAUCAUCUGAUGAAAGUACAGCACUGCCGCUGUUUCCACACUAAGAAUACUCAUAACCUAUCCCAACCUGAGUGGACAUAUAAAUUCAGAGGGAAAAAUCACAAACUAUACUAUACCGAUACAGCUAGAUAUCAAGAUUCUAAGGACACAAUGUCUAAACUAAAUUACCCAACAAACAGUUUGAAUCAUGAAUAGAAUAUAGUUAACAUAACCCCCCAUGCAAACGGUCAUCACGUAUCAGCUAGUAAGAAAGGAGGGAACAAAUCUUGAUUAACAGAACAAUGGAGCACCAUCUUUAGAGAUUGUACAAACUGUAAAACAAAACAAAAAACGGUCAGAGUAAAAAAACAUGACUGGAUAUAUAUACAGCUGGAUAUCAAGAUUCUCUGGAGAAAUGCUUAAACUAAAAUACUAAUAAAAAAUGAAUCAUGGGCCAUUCAAAAACAACUUCAUAUAGAUAUAUACCCAACAAAGAGUUUGAAUCAUGAAUAUGCAAUGCACAUCGCUGACAUGACCCACCAUGCAAACGAUCAUCAUAAAUACCUUUGGAACCCACAACUCAACAUAAACAUGACAAAGACAAACAUGUAUACCAAAUAGCAUCUGAAAACAUAUCAGGGAAGAUAAUUUUCUGGCAGAACCAAGCAUGCGUAUGCAACUAUCUAAAUAUAUGUGCUAAACAGCCACUGGAAACAUUGCUAUAGAACAGACCGGAUAAAGCAAUUUCCACACAGAACAAUGCAUGCAUGUUUGCACAACCAAUCAAACACAUGUAUAGAAUAUAUACUGACAAACAAUUAGUCUAGAAAGACUAACUAUGCCGGAGCAAGUUGAUCAUGAAACUCCAUACCAAGACAUCUCCAGAUUUUUCCGGAAAUGAGAGUUCAGUAAGCUACUACCUUCAGCCUCCUAACUGAUUUGAGAGCAACAUUUAUUAGUUUUUAGAAACAUGAAAAAAACAUUAGGCACAUUUGAAUAAACAUUUAAGAGAAGGGAACUGCAAAACGAAAUUCAGUAAACAGAAACGCCACUAUAGCUCAUGACUAAAUUGACUCUCUUUCAGUAAAAAGUAGGAAAGUGUAACCACCUUAGUAAAAAUAGAAUGAGCAUGCUACCAUGCCCUUGCGCAGGUUCAAGCUACAUUCGAAGAAGGGACGUCUAUUGAACAAAAACUGGGUCGAUAGUAUUUUGCAAUAGCUAACUAUGCAACUUUUCUCCACGAACAUGAGAUAAUUUAAAUGGCAGGAUCAUGUUUGUUUUCCCCUUAUUUUCAGUUGGAUUGUAAUAACUCAGCAGCAAAGAGUACACCACAGUGGUUUAGUCUACUAAUCUGAUUCAAUUCAAGAAUGGGUAGCCUAUUCUCUUGUAUAUGUCAGCAAGCUCUUUUUUGUACUCAAGUCAAAACUAAGCAUAAAUACCUACUCACCUACAUAAGUUGUUGUUGCACAUGCCCAUGUAUUUGGUGCAAGUUGAGGCCUCCUUUAAGUAACAUUAUGACCACUCUUCAAGUCUUCAUACCUACAAACACCAUCAAAGUAUGAAGUCUAACCGAGGUGGAACCGUGUAAGGACUAAAGAAAGGGAAAGUGUUUGAUUCAUAAGCAAAGAGAGCAAGAGACCGAACUUUCAGAACAUUUAGGUUUAUUAGUAAGGAAACAGUGGUAACAUUUUCUUAGUAAUUAAGCUCGAUGGAAAUAAAGGUACUUUUCAUGUAUGACGCCCAAAAAAAGUUUAAACAUCUUUUCCUUUUGCUGUACCAUGAUCAUACCACAAUGUGAGAUGCAGACAGGGAAAAGUUCAGAUCCAAAAUCAUAUCUCAUAGAUAUGUUUGUACAUUAAGGAAAAGAAAAACAUUACUGGCAUUCUGCAAAAACACAUUAAGAAAUGGAGCUUUUGGACCAGUGAAUUACACUGGUAUUCUCAAAAUACCACAUCUACAAUCUCACUGGUGAGAACCAGUGCAGGAUUAAGAAACAAAAUACCACAUCUACAAUCUCACUGGUGAGAACCAGUGCAGGAUUAAGAAAUUAUCUAUGUCUAUAGGCUUUUUAUGAAUGAUACCAGACUUUUUUUAUUGCAAGAAUCAAUGCUAGCAGGCUGUUCUGUUGAGUUACUCAGCGGAAGAUGCCGCAACCAAUAGAAAUUGGCAGUAGAUUUCAUCUAUGCCUGCUGCUCCAUCCUGCAGUAAUUAUUUAGAACAACAAAUAAGAUGAUUGUCAGAUUAGAGAAGGCACACUUCUUGCAUAAAAAAGAGAAGGCCACACUAAAUAAGCACGUUCCUAGCAUGUAUCUAUAAACAUAGAGAUGCUACUGAUAAAUAUAAACAACAACAACAACAAAGCCUUUAGUCCCAAACAAGUUGGGGUAGGCUAGAGGUGAAACCCAUAAGAUCUCGCAACCAACUCAUGGCUCUGGCACAUGGAUAGCAAGCUUCCACGCACCCCUGUCCAUAGCUAGCUCUUUGUCGAUACUCCAAUCCUUCAGGUCUCUCUUAACGGACUCCUCCCAUGUCAAACUCGGUCGACCCCGCCCUCUCUUGACAUUCUCCGCACGCUUUAGCCGUCCGCUAUGCACUGGAGCUUCUGGAGGCCUGCGCUGAAUAUGCCCAAACCAUCUCAAACGAUGUUGGACAAGCUUCUCCUCAAUUGGUGCUACCCCAACUCUAUCUCGUAUAUCAUCAUUCCGGACUCGAUCCUUCCUCGUGUGGCCACACAUCCAUCUCAACAUACGCAUCUCCGCCACACCUAACUGUUGAACAUGUCGCCUUUUAGUCGGCCAACACUCCGCGCCAUACAACAUUGCGGGUCGAACCGCUGUCCUGUAGAACUUGCCUUUUAGCUUUUGUGGCACUCUCUUGUCACAGAGAAUGCCAGAAGCUUGGCGCCACUUCAUCCAUCCGGCUUUGAUUCGAUGGUUCACAUCUUCAUCAAUACCCCCAUCCUCCUGCAACAUUGACCCCAAAUACCGAAAGGUGUCCUUCCGAGGUACCACCUGGCCAUCAAGGCUAACCUCCUCCUCCUCACAGCUAGUAGUACUGAAACCGCACAUCAUGUACUCGGUUUUAGUUCUACUAAGCCUAAACCCUUCCGAUUCCAAGGUUUGUCUCCAUAACUCUAACUUCCUAUUUACCCCCAUCCGACUAUCGUCAACUAGCACCACAUCAUCCGCAAAGAGCAUACACCAUGGGAUAUCUCCUUGUAUACCCCUUGUGACCUCAUCCAUCACCAAUGCAAAAAGAUAAGGGCUCAAAGCUGACCCCUGAUGCAGUCCUAUCUUAAUCGGGAAGUCAUCGGUGUCGACAUCACUUGUUCGAACACUUGUCACAACAUUAUUGUACAUGUCCUUGAUGAGGGUAAUGUACUUUGCUGGGACUUUGUGUUUCUCCAAGGCCCACCACAUGACAUUCCGCGGUAUCUUAUCAUAGGCCUUCUCCAAGUCAAUGAACACCAUAUGCAAGUCCUUCUUAUGCUCCCUAUAUCUCUCCAUAAGUUGUCGUACCAAGAAAAUGGCUUCCAUGGUCGACCUAUAACGGAACUAUUUCCCACAGCAAAAGGAAAAUAUGCAUGUGGCUAGAAAGAAUAAGCAUGUAGCUAGAAAGAAGGAAGCAAACAUCAAGCAGCAGAACAUAGUUACAGCAAAGCAGGAGAUCAAGAUGCAGCAACAAAGGAGAUCCUAGAACCAGCUAAAUAAACGGUAGGCUGAUGCCACACUAAUCACCCUCACUCCACUGGGUGGCCUUGAAAAAACAGUUAGCACUGGAUGUCACCAAAUAAUGUACCCAACUGCGCACUGGACACCGGCUCAUGUCUGAGUUAUCCCAUGAUCUCAUGGGUACGCAACAGUUUAGGCAGAAAAUAUAGUUUGAAUUGGAUGUCAGGGCGAUGUAAAAAAUGCAGACCAUUUUUGUAUGUCUACAAAAAUAUGUUCAAUUCAAAUUUUUACUGAAACUUUGACUGAGCAAAGUGAAACAUCAUCAUAUAAUGUGGUAGCCAAAUCUACACAAGAUGCAGCCUGCAGAUCUGGUACCAUGAACUGCACGAACAAAACAGACUGAAUGGUUCAAAAAUUGCAUCAAAACUGUUUCACAAUUAACAUAUUCAGGAAAGGCUAAACAUCCUUGACUUAUAAACCAAAAAAUGGAGCAAAAAUGGUGUGUUGCCUACACCUUUAUCAACUAAAACUGCUUACUCAUUUGUUCGCCGCAUAGAAGCAGGUAAUCAACUAAUAAUCUCCUACAAGAGGUACACCUUUAUCAACUAUCUCCUACUCAUAUAUCGAGCUUUCAAAGUAUAUCUAAUUUUUAGGUCUGGACAGAUUCAAGCAACUCAAAGCAUAUCACCCUUUUUGGUUAAAAUUAAAUGGCCCAAUCUUCCAUCAGAUUUACAUGGGGCAUAGAGUUUAGAACAGACUCACAGUUGGAUAAUGCAAUACAGCAAUACCUGUAGAAUAAUAGUGCAAUACCUCUAGUUAAAUCCAUCAGUUUUGGCACAUUUGUAGAAACAUGUUCCUCCGCUGCUCUGCAAUCAUUUGUUAACACACCUUUUGUCAGUAUGAGCAACCAACAUCAGCUAAAAGAAAUCGUACAAAUGUAGGUACCACAACUCUCUAUAAUGUAAACAGUUCAUAGCAGAAUACGCACAGCGCCAUGAGCAGAUGUUGAAAGCGCAAGAUCUUAUACAGAAGGUUUUAACCGUGUAAUGUUGAAAAGCAUAAGAUAUUAACAGUAUGUUGUAGACAGAACAGUACGCCGCAGAAUAAUGCCGUAAACUUAAAUACUGACUUUAAAAAAAUCAUUAGAAAGAACAGUACACCGUAGAAAAAUAAUGCAAUACAUAUAGACAACCUACCCACUCCAACUUAAAAAGAAUCAAGUUCCAACUCCACAACACAUAUGACCAUUAAAGUACCAUUUUUCAGUACCACCAUUCUGGCCUUACCGUUACAUGGCAACCAAACGAAUCCUCAUUUAUUUUAGAAAAAAACAACUACUCGACUGAUCCUUCGUAGGCACAACUCAAUUAACCGGCUGGUUAGCCAAGCAUUUUGUGCCUGCUGCAAUCUUCAAGUAUAUACUGUAACCAACUUAUUUGUUGAUACUAAGAGAUGUAAAAUUUAGCUAGGGUAGCCAAGGUUUAGAUGUUGUACCAGUCAGCAAAUCUGCACUGCUCUGCUUGGAAGAGCGUCAGAUGGAUCCAGCCAUCAUUGGCCAGAGACGCACCAAAGUACAACCUUACAGCCCUUUUUCAUCUCCUCUCGCCUCCUCAGACAUUAAAAAUAUUGCGUAUUUAAAUUUCUUCUUUAGCAAUGGAAAGCAUAAGGAAAGCUCAAUGAGAAUUGAAUAACUUCCCAGAAAUAAAUAAGUGACAACUAAACGAGGCACACAGCCAAGGCAAAAACUUCAUGAUUUGUAUGCCUUCAUUUCACUGACGGUUAUGCUUACUUUAGUGUAGCCCGAAUGAAAAAGAAAAUAAACUUGUGCCUUAUCGAUCAAAAUGUCACUACCUAGACUAAUGGUCCAAACAAAAUCACCUCUAUGGACAAAAGAACCAAUGGAUAAUUGGCUGUAAUGUGUAUGAUGAAUCAUGCAUAUCUGGCUCUAUAUUAGCAUGUCAGGGAAAAAAAUCAAGAGAUUAAAGGCAAUAUAUCUCAGGGGAUAAGAUGCAUCUUUCACAUCUCAGUUAAAAAAAAAAGCCCCAACAUCACCAGUAAAAGUGUUUGUCUUUGGUUCAGUUUUCCCGACUUCCCCAAGUGCUUGUAUAGUUGAAAAAUAUAUCAUAACUGAAUACAAUGAAACAGCAAGAAGCAAACAGUAAGAAACUUGAAAUGGUGUAGCAAUUAAGUACUACAGCAAAUCGAAUAGGAACAGACCAAAUAUAAACAAAGAAGUGCAAUGCCCUUAUCCUUAUGGUGGUGUUCCUUAGUGUAACAUACAAACCAACCAUGUCACCUAUUUUUGUGCUACAUAUAGACUGAAACCAAGCAAGAUAAUGUAACCUGACAAGAAGUAUAGUAUAGCCGAUUUAGAAAUUGAGAACUGGCCAUUCCAAACAAAAACAACAUUGCUGGUGCUGCAAAAAUGGAUAAUCCAGCGCCAAAUAGUGAUGCCUCCAUCAAUCAAAUCCCUAGGAAUUUUC
rnacentral:lncRNA from 1 species